rnacentral:rRNA from 1 species
UGAGGAAUAUUGGUCAAUGGGCGGUAGCCUGAACCAGCCAAGUAGCGUGCAGGAUGACGGCCCUAUGGGUUGUAAACUGCUUUUAUGCGGGGAUAAAGUCACCCACGUGUGGGUGUUUGCAGGUACCGCAUGAAUAAGGACCGGCUAAUUCCGUGCCAGCAGCCGCGGUAAUACGGAAGGUCCGGGCGUUAUCCGGAUUUAUUGGGUUUAAAGGGCGUGUAGGCGGCCUGUUAAGCGUGUUGUGAAAUGUAGAUGCUCAACAUCUGAACUGCAGCGCGAACUGGCUGGCUUGAGUACACGCAACGUGGGCGGAAUUCAUGGUGUAGCGGUGAAAUGCUUGGAUAUCAUGAGGAACUCCUAUUGCGAAGGCAGCUCACGGGAGUGUCACUGACGCUUAAGCUCGAAGGUGCGGGUAUCAAACAGG